rnacentral:snRNA from 1 species
GUGCUUGCUUUGGCAGCACAUAUACUAAAAUUCAAAUGAUAUAGAAAAGAUUAGUGUGGCCCCUGUGCAAGGAUGACAUACAAAUUCAUGAAGGGCUCCAGUUAUAA